GUGAUGAUUACCAACACCAUUCAUGCCUAAAUGAUUACGACGAUGUCCACUUAGACGAAAAUUAUUAUUUUUAUCCUCCCUUAGGUGAUAAAGAAACUAUUAUUUGACGAGCGAUUCUUCGAGACGGUAGGGAAGGACUGAUUGAAGAUUCCAUUUAUGGGAACAAAGAGAAUUGUUGUCAAAAUUCAUUUAAAUCAAAACCAGCAACUCAAAAAUCAACAAAGCGAAGUAAUACGGCACCAUCGAAAACAAGUCAAAAAAAAUUAAGUGACGAGGAGAUCGAACUUUUAAUUAUUGAGGUACAAAAUAGAAUUCCUCUGUGGAAUUUUAAUAUUCCACUAGCGGAAAGAACACGAGAAAUAACAGCUACGCUUUGGGAAGAAGUUUCUGCAACAUUGAAUGGUAAAAAUGAAUGAUUGUAUCUUUUAUAGCGUGUACUCUAUCAAAAUGAAAUACUAAUAUUGAUUAAAAUGAAGUAUAAAAUGAAA